rnacentral:lncRNA from 1 species
AAAAUAUACUCCAUUCAUCUGUGAUUCAACUCUGUCCCGAAAACUUCCCCAAACCCACAUUACAAAUGCAGCUCAUUAUUUGCUUCUUCUGGAUUUAACUCUCUUUAAAGUUUAAAUUUCACUGUGCUUAACUACAGUUUCAAUGAUAUGACCUUCUGCUGGCAUCUAUAGUUGUCAUCUCAACAGAACCAAUUAUGGGUCAGAGAUAUGACUAUGGUCUGGCAACUCCAUUCCUCACUUGAUGCCCUGUCUUCCUGCUGGAGAUGAAGCAAUAAACCUUUGCUGUAGAAGAAUCCGGUUGUCCGAGUGAAUUCUUGCUGGGGAGAUACUAGCUAGGAUAAGUGACGCUGAAAACCCGGGACCAUACCAUCACCAGGCGCUGAAAAGGUGACCCCCCGUUUCAAGGGGGCAGAUUCAGAACUACGGGACACUAAAGCUCUGUAAGGAUCAUCGACAACAGCUACAGGUCCUGGAGCGGCUGACCAAAGCAAUUCAGGGCAGGUGGAGCUGUGAGGACGUGGAUGUUCCUGUGGCUGGAGGUGCUCCCGCUCGUGAAAACUGAAGAGCUCUGUGUUCCUGAAACCACACUGUUGACGCAUUUGGGUGUUUCC